CUGAAGCAGCGAGGUGGCCAAGCCAGGAGAACCACGCUGCCAUCCCAUUAUUACAUGAGGAAAGGCUUUCACCUAAGACAUCUAGGAACACAGAACACUCUCCAAAGUACUUGCUCCUCUAUUUGCCAUUUGUAGAAAGCACAGUAAGCACUUCAGAAGGGUGAAGAAAGUGCAGACCGUUCUUCACUCGUAGGGAUAUUCUGAUUACCCCCAGAAAGUGUGGAGCGUGCUGAGAAGGGAGCAAGCACUGGAGUCCCGCCAGCUCCUGGCUCGGCUUCUAGAUGGCUGUACCAGCUGUCUGAGUCAACCUCGGCAGAAGGGCCAGGUGUUCUUUUAAAUUUGAAAUUACAGGCAGAAGCGUAAGACCAGUUUUUGUCUUUGAAGAAGCAUUUAGAGGACAGAAAAGUGGCAGCCAUCGACCUAAAUUGGAUUGAGACUUCUCAGCCCAAUCUCUGUGAGAAAAGCAUUUCAUUUUCUCUGCUCCGAGGGAGUGGGAGCUCCCGUGGUGGCCGCAGAACUCUGCCCUCUCUUCCUAACUGGAGAAGUUGUCGGCCGAUCAAAGAGGACAAGUGCUCCAAGGAGACCGCUCUGCAUCCCUGCCUGGAGGACAUGCACGCCUCCCAGGGGAACUGUUUCCUCUGGACAUUCUCAAGCGGCAUGACAGCAUCUUAAAAAAUGUCUGGACUUGAAAGGCAAAAAGUCAACCUUCAGGUUUGUGUUAAGGAAGAAAGAAGACAGACUGGUCAAAAUUAUAUCCACUAGACAUGCUGUCAGGGAGCCGGCGUGCUUCUUGUAAGCCAACAAACAUAAAAAACAAGAUGUGAUGGCAUCCAUCGGCUGCAUUAAAAACAAGGACACUGCAAAAGGAUUUAACAAAGGUGGCUCUGAAUGGCUCUACUCUCCUUCCAAUAGACUGUGCUGUCUUUUGAAUGCAUUCUUCAGAGGAUCAGUUUAAAAGGGCCUCCAAAUUGUACAAGCUUCAGCACCUGUGGAGGUUUGGACCCGUGGAAGAAGUUGGGUAUGACCAACAGCAUCCCAAAUAACCCCUGAAAAGUCCUAGUUCUCCAGUAUUGACGUUCCUAUGAAUUUCUUUCUCUUGAAUGUGGCUUGAUCUUGGAGACCAACUUCUAACAAAUAAGGAAGCAGCUGACAUGCGAUCAGCCCUAUGGAGAGAGCCAAGAACUGAUGUGUCUGGCCAAUGGACAGAUUGGACCUGAGGUCUGCCAACAGCAGCCGCGUAAGUAUGCUUGGAAUGGAAUUCCUCCCCCUCUGUGAGCCUUGAGACACAGCCUGAGAAACACCUUCAUCAUCCAGCCUUGUGUAAGACCUGAGCCACAGGCCUCCGGCUAAACCACACCCAGAUUCCUG